CCUACGGGGGGCAGCAGUGGGGAAUCUUCCGCAAUGGGCGCAAGCCUGACGGAGCAACGCCGCGUGAGUGAAGAAGGUCUUCGGAUCGUAAAGCUCUGUUGAUGGGGACGAACGUGCGAAGGGUGAAUAAUCCUUUGCAAUGACGGUACCUAUCGAGGAAGCCACGGCUAACUACGUGCCAGCAGCCGCGGUAAUACGUAGGUGGCGAGCGUUGUCCGGAAUCAUUGGGCGUAAAGGGAGCGCAGGCGGGCAUGUAAGUCUUUCUUAAAAGUUCGGGGCUCAACCCCGUGAUGGGAAAGAAACUAUGUGUCUUGAGUACAGGAGAGGAAAGCGGAAUUCCCAGUGUAGCGGUGAAAUGCGUAGAUAUUGGGAGGAACACCAGUGGCGAAGGCGGCUUUCUGGACUGCAACUGACGCUGAGGCUCGAAAGCCAGGGGAGCGAACAGGAUUAGAUACCCUUGUAGUC
rnacentral:rRNA from 1 species